rnacentral:rRNA from 1 species
UUUAAUUGAAGAGUUUGAUCAUGGCUCAGAUUGAACGCUGGCGGCAGGCCUAACACAUGCAAGUCGAACGGUAACAGGAUGUGCUUGCACAUCGCUGACGAGUGGCGGACGGGUGAGUAAUGCUUGGGAACUUGCCUUUGCGAGGGGGAUAACAGUUGGAAACGACUGCUAAUACCGCAUAAUGUCUUCGGACCAAACGGGGCUUCGGCUCC